AUGCAAGUCGAACGAUUAAAGCUCUCUUCGGAGAGUGCAUAAAGUGGCGCACGGGUGAGUAACACGUAAGUAAUCUACCCUCGGGUGGGGAAUAACGUCCGGAAACGGACGCUAAUACCGCAUAAUGCAGCGGCACCAUAUGGUGACAGUUGUUAAAGGAGAAAUUCGCCUGGGGAGGAGCUUGCGGCAGAUUAGCUUGUUGGUAGGGUAACGGCCUACCAAGGCGACGAUCUGUAGCCGGUCUAAGAGGACGGUCGGUCACACUGACACUGAAUAACGGGUCAGACUCCUACGGGAGGCAGCAGUCGGGAAUUUUGGGCAAUGGGCGAAAGCCUGACCCAGCAACGCCGCGUGAAGGAUGAAGUAUUUCGGUAUGUAAACUUCGAAAGAAUAGGAAGAAUUAAUGACGGUACUAUUUAUAAGGUCCGGCCAACUACGUGCCAGCAGCCGCGGUAAUACGUAGGGACCAAGCGUUGUUCGGAUUUACUGGGCGUAAAGGGCGCGUAGGCGGUGCUGUAAGUCACUUGUGAAAUCUCUGAGCUUAACUCAGAACGGCCAAGUGAUACUGCAGCACUAGAGUGCGGAAGGGGCAAUCGGAAUUCUUGGUGUAGCGGUGAAAUGCGUAGAUAUCAAGAGGAACACCUGAGGUGAAGACGGGUUGCUGGGCCGACACUGACGCUGAGGCGCGAAAGCCAGGGGAGCAAACGGGAUUAGAUACUCCGGUAGUC
rnacentral:rRNA from 1 species